rnacentral:rRNA from 1 species
AGUGAACGCUGGCGGUAGGCCUAACACAUGCAAGUCGAACGGCAGCACAGUAAGAGCUUGCUCUUACGGGUGGCGAGUGGCGGACGGGUGAGGAAUACCUCGGAAUCUACUUUUUCGUGGGGGAUAACGUAGGGACACUUACGCUAAUACCGCAUACGACCUACGGGUGAAAGCAGGGGAUCUUCGGACCUUGCGCGAUUGAAUGAGCCGAUGUCGGAUUAGCUAGUUGGCGGGGUAAAGGCCCACCAAGGCGACGAUCCGUAGCUGGUCUGAGAGGAUGAUCAGCCACACUGGAACUGAGACACGGUCCAGACUCCUACGGGAGGCAGCAGUGGGGAAUAUUGGACAAUGGGCGCAAGCCUGAUCCAGCCAUGCCGCGUGGGUGAAGAAGGCCUUCGGGUUGUAAAGCCCUUUUGUUGGGGAAGAAAAGCAGCAGGUUAAUACCCCGCCGUUCUGACGGUACCCAAAGAAUAAGCACCGGCUAACUUCGUG